rnacentral:lncRNA from 1 species
UUCGUCGCUGCGCCCCGCCCGCGCGUGGGACCCCUCAGCCUCACCCUCUCUAGGGCGCAGCAAGUCCGCCGCGAGCCCCUCUGCUCAUCGCUCGUUACCCCCCAGGCCCUUGGGCUUGGGCUCAGGCCCAGUCGUUCCUCUGCAACAAAUCCAAUGGAACCGCGCCCUCCCUGAAUCCCACGUCUAGGAAGAGGAGGAGGAGCCCCUCUUGCUUGGGGGAAGGGGCUCCCGACUCGGAGCCCCGAGCCCCAUUCCUCUCCCGCGCCAGCUCUUCGGGACGCGGCCUCCCAGCGGACGCCCUGAGACCUUGCAAGUCCGCUAGGGAGGGGUCGGGACGAGCCGUCGCGGGUGGAUCCGCCCGGCCGAGCAACGACCCGCCCGGGCGCGAGGACCACGGGCUGUCGUGCGGGAGGCGUCGAGGGGCAGUAAACUCCGUUCGUGACCAAACGGAGACGAUUUGAAACUUGCUGCUCACACUGGAUCACCGUCUGGAAGGUGCGACGGGGAAAAAAUACACAUUACACUCCAGCAGGAUUGAACGCUUUCACCCUGUGCCCCGCGCCUGGCGUAACGCGUGGCCCCAGACCACACGCUGUAACCCGGGGUGAGAGGGAGUGAGGUGGGACUUCGUACCGGACCCGGAGCGCCGGCCUCGCCCGCGCGGGCAGCGUUCACUGUGGGGAGUGCUCACUCAGCCUAGGGCGGCCCGGGAGGACUGCCGGGAGGAGGGAGUCGGCCUUGAAUUGAGGCCUCAGCCUUGAAUAGGGUAGGGAGGCAAGCCUAGCCGAGAGUUUAGCACUAGCAAAAGCCUGGAGGCACCAGGGUCUGCCCUAAGAACUGCAGCGCCUCUGCUCUGGCUGGGAUUUAACGCAUUACGUCUCUGCUGUUUAUAGGUGUUGUGUUUGGUCUUACGACUUCGUAUUCUAUAGUUUUUAUUUAUUCCUGUUUUCUGAAUUUUCCCACAUUUGCUUUUAUCUUCUAUCGUGAUUUUCAAGGCAGAAAGUAUUUUUAAUUCUUCUCGCGGCUGCCUUUAGAUUUAUCAAAUGAAAAUAGUUUACAUUUCACACAUUAGUAAAGUCAGUGACAAAUAAUUCGUUUUUAUAUUCCCCCAUGAGAAAUUUUGUGUGCUUUUCUGCCUCCUACCUGCCGCCCUCACUACUUAUAUUUGUCCACUUAAUCAGGACGACAGACCUAACUUUUGUUUACACUUUUUUUUUAAGCCACAACAUUCUUUUUCAAUCCUUGUUUUUGGCUUUUGCCAACUCUGUUUAAUUGGUUUCAAUGUUACUGCCGGUUUUUUGUGCUCUAAUUUUUCUAUUCCUCAUUUGGACCCAUCUCUCACAUGACUGGUGAUUUCAGGGAGGACUCUGGAAUGUUGUAUUUCCUAAGCCUUUGCCUUAGGUGAGAAUGCCUUUAUAAUGAUUUCCUGUUUAUAGGAUUCUUGAGUCUCAAGCUUUCCCCCUCAAAACUCUUGUCUUUAUUUCAUUGUCUUCUGGCACUGAAAAUGCAAAGCUGGGUUUGUCUGUUUAAGGUCAGCAGUUUGCUUGGUGCUUGCAAGGGUUUUUCUUUACCCUCAAAAGUCAAACAUUUUGCCAGUAUAAAUCAAUAUGGGCCUUAUCUAUUAAUUUUCCAGAAACAAAAGAGGUCUUCUUUGUAGCUUAGAAAAGUUUUCUUCCUGUCCAUUCUGUGAAAAGAUUUGGGUUUUUUUCUUUCCUCUCCUCUAAAACUAUCACAUUGGAUCACCAAUGUCAAAUAAAUCUGUUUGUUUUCUCUGCACCCUGGGAGACUAUAUCAAGUUUUUCUUCACCAUUACGGAUUUAAUUUUCUUCAGAGCCAAGAGUACUGUUUAUUUUCUCCAAUAAGACAUUUGAUUCUGCUUGUUUUAUUUUUCUUUCAGCCAAUUUCCAUUCCACCUCUGUCUUGAUCUCAACUUAAUCUCUCUUUGUAGUCUCCAUUCCUAUUUCAUAGACUAAUGUGGUUUUGCAUCUUUAAAAGAACACCAGGAAAAUAAGAGAAUACUAUCUAUAUCUGACUCUGGUCCAAUGCAUAUGAAAACUUUUUUGUUUUUUUGAGACAGAGUCUCACUUAAAAUUUACACAAACUCUAGCAUAGUGUGUAACUAUUGAAUGAAUAACUAAUGCAAUCCCCUUCCUUUCUUUCAGAG